rnacentral:rRNA from 1 species
UACGUAGGCAGCGAGCGUUGUUCGGAGUUACUGGGCGUAAAGGGUGUGUAGGCGGUUCUUUAAGUUUGGUGUGAAAUCUCCCGGCUCAACCGGGAGGGUGCGCCGAAUACUGAGGGACUAGAGUAUGGGAUGGGAAAGUGGAAUUCCUGGUGUAGCGGUGAAAUGCGUAGAUAUCAGGAGGAACACCUGUGGUGUAGACGGCUUUCUGGACCAUAACUGACGCUGAGGCGCGAAAGCGUGGGGAGCAAACAGG